UGUCCAGGGGCGGAAUCGAACCCACAACGUUCCGCUUACCGGGCAGAUGCCAUGUCCACUAGGCUACCCUGGAC
rnacentral:tRNA from 1 species